UACGGAGGGAGCUAGCGUUGUUCGGAAUUACUGGGCGUAAAGCGCGCGUAGGCGGUUUUUUAAGUCAGAGGUGAAAGCCCGGGGCUCAACCCCGGAAUUGCCUUUGAAACUGGAAAACUUGAAUCUUGGAGAGGUCAGUGGAAUUCCGAGUGUAGAGGUGAAAUUCGUAGAUAUUCGGAAGAACACCAGUGGCGAAGGCGACUGACUGGACAAGUAUUGACGCUGAGGUG
rnacentral:rRNA from 1 species